AGUUGUUGCAGUUAAAAAGCUCGUAGUUGGACUUUAGGCAAGGCGGCCUGGUCACCCUCUGGGUGUACUGGGAUCGCUGCGCCUCACCUUCGGGGAGCUAGUCGUGCUUCGGUGCGCUAGGGAACCGAGCCUUACCUUGAGGAAAUUAGAGUGUUUAAAGCAGGCUUAUGCUUGAAUACGUUAGCAUGGAAUAACAUGAUAGGACUUUGGUUCUAUUUUGUUGGUUUGAGGACCAAAGUAAUGAUUAAUAGGGACAGUUGGGGGCAUUAGUAUUCAAUAGUCAGAGGUGAAAUUCUUGGAUUUAUUGAAGACUAACUAAUGCGAAAGCAUUUGCCAAGGAUGUUUUCAUUAAUCAAGAACGAAAGUUAGGGGAUCGAAGACGAUUAGAUACCGUCGUAGUCUUAACCAUAAACUAUGCCGACUAGGGAUCGGUGGAAGUCGAUUUUGACUCCAUCGGCACCUUACGAGAAAUCAAAGUUUUUGGGUUCUGGGGGGAGUAUGGUCGCAAGGCUGAAACUUAAAGGAAUUGACGGAAGGGCACCACCAGGAGUGGAGCCUGCGGCUUAAUUUGACUCAACACGGGAAAACUCACCAGGUCCGGACAUGGGAAGGAUUGACAGAUUGAGAGCUC
rnacentral:rRNA from 1 species